rnacentral:rRNA from 1 species
CCUGAGAAACCUAAAAGUUCGAAAGGAGAGAUUCAAUGUCAGUAUAUAUUGUAUUCACGUGAGUAGUGAUGUAAAUUUUUAGCUUUUUGUUAUUAUUUGCACAUUUUCAUGUUUUUUUAUUGCAAUAUUUUUACCGGCGUGCACUUCUCUUCUAGUAGAACGUCCCGACCCGUUGAAUCUUGGCCUACGGCAUGGAUGGUAGCCUUUAUUUCUUUUUGAAAUAAAGACCUCUAAUGUACUCCUGGCUAUAGUAUUCGACGGUAUUGCAUAAUAAUGACGUGGUAUUAAGCCGCAAAAAUUUUUUUUUGUGCGUCUGGCCUGUCGCAAGUUUAUUGACAUUUUUCGUAUAAUAUAGACUCUGUGCUAUAUUUAUGGUAUGGAUAUGUUGGCUUUUGCAUGACUGUGCUCUUGGACUGGCUUCUAAAUACCUGUCAGGGACGCUUAGGCUUUGGGUACUCUCAGGACCCGUCUUGAAACACGGACCAAGGAGUCUAACAUGUGCGCGAGUCAUUGGGUAUAUAUUUUUCUUCGGAAAUUUAUAUAAAACAAACCUAAAGGCGAAAUGAAAGUAAAGGUUAAACCUAGCGUUUAACUUAGGGAUGAUGAGUUAUUAAUUUAUCUCCGCAAUCCCAGGGCGUCAUAAUCUCUACGAGAUUU